rnacentral:lncRNA from 1 species
CUACAGUCUUCCAGAAACCUCCUAGCGUCUACUCUGGACAGGACCUCAGUGCGCAGCUGCCCACCCAACAUGGUUUGAUGCUUGGAGAGUGGAUACAUGAGCAUCCGGCAGAAACUUCAGUACUACCGCUGGAUCCGUUUCCCCCCUGCCGGCGUGGUUCUCACAGCCCGCUUGGCUAGCCCCCGGAGCGGCCGCUCAGAAACUGUAAAGGAGGUGGAUUAAAGGAUCUUAAAGAAACGGUGGACUCACCUGGAUUUAUUACAGCCUCGGUGAAAUGAAAGUUGCUAAUAAAGAACCAAGUUCUAGACUGACGGGAGUCUGGACGCCCGAGUGAUUCGCUGUCUCCUCCAGAGGUACAAGUUUAGCUUUAGCAGCUGAAAGACAUAUUUCUGACACUCUGCAGAAACACUUUCCUAGAAAAAAAACACAAGAUUUUAGAUUUUUCCAAAAAA